rnacentral:rRNA from 1 species
UCAAAAACAUGGCUUUUUGAUAAUAAUUUAAAGUCAGGCCUGCCCACUGAGUAUUGAAGGGCCGCGGUAAUUUGACCGUGCUAAGGUAGCAUAAUCAUUAGUUUCUUAAUUAGGAGCUAGAAUGAAUGGUUUCAUGAAAAAAUAGCUGUCUCUAUAUAAUUUAUUUAGAAUUUUAUUUUUAAGUUAAAAAGCUUAAAUUUCUUUAAAAGACGAGAAGACCCUAUAGAGUUUAAUAUUUUUAUUAAUAAAGUUAUAGUGGUAUAAAAUUUAUUUUAUUAUUAAAAAUAUUUGGUUGGGGUGAUUGAAAAAUUAAAUAAACUUUUUUUAUUAAAAAUCAUUAAUUUAUGAUUAAUUGAUCCAUUUUUAGUGAUUAAAAGAAAAAAUUACCUUAGGGAUAACAGCGUUAUUAUUUUUGAGAGUUCUUAUCGAAAAAAUAGAUUGCGACCUCGAUGUUGGAUUAAAAUUAAUUUUUGGUGUAGCUGCUAGAAUAUUAGGUCUGUUCGACCUUUAAAAUUUUACAUGAUCUGA